rnacentral:rRNA from 1 species
ACGAACGCUGGCGGCGUGCCUAAUACAUGCAAGUAGAACGCUGAAGAGAGGAGCUUGCUCUUCUUGGAUGAGUUGCGAACGGGUGAGUAACGCGUAGGUAACCUGCCUUGUAGCGGGGGAUAACUAUUGGAAACGAUAGCUAAUACCGCAUAACAAUGGAUGACCCAUGUCAUUUAUUUGAAAGGGGCAAAUGCUCCACUACAAGAUGGACCUGCGUUGUAUUAGCUAGUAGGUGAGGUAACGGCUUACCUAGGCGACGAUACAUAGCCGACCUGAGAGGGUGAUCGGCCACACUGGGACUGAGACACGGCCCAGACUCCUACGGGAGGCAGCAGUAGGGAAUCUUCGGCAAUGGGGGCAACCCUGACCGAGCAACGCCGCGUGAGUGAAGAAGGUUUUCGGAUCGUAAAGCUCUGUUGUAAGUCAAGAACGAGUGUGAGAGUGGAAAGUUCACACUGUGACGGUAGCUUACCAGAAAGGGACGGCUAACUACGUGCCAGCAGCCGCGGUAAUACGUAGGUCCCGAGCGUUGUCCGGAUUUAUUGGGCGUAAAGCGAGCGCAGGCGGUUUGAUAAGUCUGAAGUUAAAGGCUGUGGCUCAACCAUAGUUCGCUUUGGAAACUGUCAAACUUGAGUGCAGAAGGGGAGAGUGGAAUUCCAUGUGUAGCGGUGAAAUGCGUAGAUAUAUGGAGGAACACCGGUGGCGAAAGCGGCUCUCUGGUCUGUAACUGACGCUGAGGCUCGAAAGCGUGGGGAGCGAACAGGAUUAGAUACCCUGGUAGUCCACGCCGUAAACGAUGAGUGCUAGGUGUUGGAUCCUUUCCGGGAUUCAGUGCCGCAGCUAACGCAUUAAGCACUCCGCCUGGGGAGUACGACCGCAAGGUUGAAACUCAAAGGAAUUGACGGGGGCCCGCACAAGCGGUGGAGCAUGUGGUUUAAUUCGAAGCAACGCGAAGAACCUUACCAGGUCUUGACAUCCCGAUGCUAUUUCUAGAGAUAGAAAGUUACUUCGGUACAUCGGUGACAGGUGGUGCAUGGUUGUCGUCAGCUCGUGUCGUGAGAUGUUGGGUUAAGUCCCGCAACGAGCGCAACCCCUAUUGUUAGUUGCCAUCAUUCAGUUGGGCACUCUAGCGAGACUGCCGGUAAUAAACCGGAGGAAGGUGGGGAUGACGUCAAAUCAUCAUGCCCCUUAUGACCUGGGCUACACACGUGCUACAAUGGUUGGUACAACGAGUUGCGAGUCGGUGACGGCAAGCUAAUCUCUUAAAGCCAAUCUCAGUUCGGAUUGUAGGCUGCAACUCGCCUACAUGAAGUCGGAAUCGCUAGUAAUCGCGGAUCAGCACGCCGCGGUGAGUACGUUCCCGGGCCUUGUACACACCGCCCGUCACACCACGAGAGUUUGUAACACCCGAAGUCGGUGAGGUAACCUUUUGGAGCCAGCCGCCUAAGGUGGGAUAGAUGAUUGGGGUG